rnacentral:lncRNA from 1 species
AACAUUUCUCACAAAAAAGACUCAGUUUAGUGCGUUGCGUUCAUUUUAUGGUUUUUAUUACUUUUUGAAAAGAAAUAAUUAAAAGAACGCCGGUUAUCCACAUUUCGAGGUAAUCACCAAGAAUACGAAUAACCAGAGAACCGGAGAGCCACAUGACAAACCGAUCCUUUUUCAUUCUAUUUUUAAAAAAAAGACAACACUUUUUAUCACAUAAAUAACUUAACAAAAGAGAUAAACUAUUCUAACAUACUAAACCCUAAAAAACAAUCUAACAUAUUUCUACCUUUUUAUACU